AUGGACGCCGCUGGGGUGAUCGGGUGUUUCAGGGACAGGAGCAUCCUAAUCACCGGCUCCACGGGCUUCCUCGGGAAAAUGCUGGUGGAGAAGAUCCUAAGGGUCCAGCCAGAUGUGAGGAAGCUCUACCUCAUUGUGCGCGCGGCCGACACCGCAUCCGCCGAGAAUCGUGUGCUCACCGAGAUAUUCUGUACAGGUUGUAGGAACAAAACUCGAAGCAAGCAUGGAGCUGAUUUCAACUCUUUUAUUACAAAUAAAAUUACCGCUCUACCUGGAGACAUCAUUAAGGAAACCUGUGCACUUAGGAACUCUAUGGUUGAACAGAUCUAUGAAGAGAUCCAUGUCAUUGUGAGUGUAGCUGCAACUACCAGCUUGUACGAGAGAUAUGACGUCGCUCUAGCAUCAAAUACCUUAGGAGUUGCCCACGUGUGCGAUUUAGCAAAGAAGUGUGCUAAUCUCAAAAUGUUGCUUCAUGUUUCCACUGCUUUCGUAGCCGGGGAGCAAGAAGGCCUGUUAGUGGAGAAACCGCUCGAUGCAGGCAAAGCACUAAGGAAAGAUUAUAGCUUGGACAUUCAAUCUGAGUUAAAAUUAGUUGAGAGUGUCAAGUCAAAACUCAGGGUGCAAUUCUCUGACGAUAAGAUAGAGAAAAGAAAAAUGAAGGAACUCGGAUUGAAAAGGACAAUGGAUAUGUUGUACGUAGCCUACAAUGACCAAAAACUUCAAUGUUUCAUCUUCAAUCGUAAUGUCAUAAUCGAUGUGAUACCGGGAGACAUGGUGAUUAAUGCACUGAUGGUUGCUAUGGCCCUUCAUUGGGAGAAGCAUGGAACCCAAGCAAUUUACCAUGUAACAUCGGGACAUCGGAACCCACUGCGUGGCUCCACUUUUCUGGAAUCAUUCUAUGAGUACUUCCACUCUAAUCCUCGUGUAACCAAGGAUGGGAGGAUUGUCAAGCAUGGAAGGGUGACAUUAUUCAAAAAAUACACAUUUUUCUCUUUAUACAUGAUCUUGCGGUAUAAGCUAGCACUAGAGGCGUUCCAUGUGAUGAGUGUAUUUGGACAUUCAUUGUCCCAACAUUACAACAAGCUCAACCGUGGCUACAAAUUCUUGAUACUUAUCGCAAAGUUGUACGCUCCAUAUGCAUUCUUUAAAGGGUGCUUUGACGACACGAACAUGAAAAAAUUGUGGGCAAUAACCGCUACAGGAGAGCUGGACGAUGGCUCCACGUUCGAUUGUGAUCCUGCAUGCAUCGACUGUGGCUCAUACCUCAUCAACACACACAUUCCGGCUGCUCUGAUGUAUGCUUCCAACAAUAAUCAGAUGAAGAAAGCUGGCAGUGCAUAG
rnacentral:rRNA from 1 species